CAUGUAGGCGGGGAAGUAAGUUGGGGGUGAAAUCUACGGGCUCAACUCGUAAACUGCCUCCAAAACUGCUUUUCUUGAGUACGGGAGAGGAGACUGGAAUUCCUAGUGUAGGAGUGAAAUCUGUAGAUAUUAGGAAGAACACCAGUGGCGAAGGCGAGUCUCUGGCCUGAUACUGACGCUGAAAUGCGAAAGCGUGGGGAGCAAACAG
rnacentral:rRNA from 1 species